AUGCCACCAAUCAAGCCAACCAGCUUCCUUUAUUCACAGGGACCUGGUGUGCACAGCAGCCUCCUUGGUAGUUUAUGCAGCCUGUUGCUUGUGUGGGUUGCCCUAAGGGACCUUGGAGACAGGU
rnacentral:snoRNA from 1 species